GAUGAACGCUGGCGGCGUGCCUAAUACAUGCAAGUCGAGCGAACGGACGAGAAGCUUGCUUCUCUGAUGUUAUCGGCGGACGGGUGAGUAACACGUGGAUAACCUACCUAUAAGACUGGGAUAACUUCGGGAAACCGGAGCUAAUACCGGAUAAUAUUUUGAACCGCAUGGUUCAAAAGUGAAAGACGGUCUUGCUGUCACUUAUAGAUGGAUCCGCGCUGCAUUAGCUAGUUGGAAGGUAACGGCUUACCAAGGCAACGAUGCAUAGCCGACCUGAGAGGGUGAUCGGCCACACUGGAACUGAGACACGGUCCAGACUCCUACGGGAGGCAGCAGUAGGGAAUCUUCCGCAAUGGGCGAAAGCCUGACGGAGCAACGCCGCGUGAGUGAUGAAGGUCUUCGGAUCGUAAAACUCUGUUAUUAGGGAAGAACAUAUGUGUAAGUAACUGUGCACAUCUUGACGGUACCUAAUCAGAAAGCCACGGCUAACUACGUG
rnacentral:rRNA from 1 species